rnacentral:lncRNA from 1 species
GCUCUGCACUAUCAGCUUCCCUCAUAUAUAUAUGACAAGGUUGUGACUCAAUGGUGGUUGGUGGAGGAAGCCAGCAAAAAUCAUGACAUUUGGUAUAAAAACUGAUGUCCUUGUCAAUUGUGGAUUUCCAACUCACAACCUCAGUGUUUAUAGGCUAGUGAAACAGUCGUUUGACUUCUUAGACCACUAAGUCACAAUGUCUUCCUUGCUGCUAAAUGAAAAGAAGACUUUAUGAAUUAAAUGUGUCUGAUCUCGAGGUGCUUUUCUGAAUUUACAUAAACCAGGAAUGUUUAAAUCCAGAAAUUUAUAAAAUACAAGCAUAUAUUAAUAUCCAAACACAUGAGGAGCUAUAAAAAGGUAUACUACUCUAAGAAGUGGAUAUGCAUCCUUUACAGAUAAUAAUUAAGUGUCCUGUAGUCCACAC